AACGAACGCUGGCGGCAUGCCUAACACAUGCGAGUCGAACGAGACCUUCGGGUCUAGUGGCGCACGGGUGCGUAACGCGUGGGAACCUGCCCUUAGGUUCGGAAUAACUCCCCGAAAGGGGUGCUAAUACCGGAUAAUGUCUUCGGACCAAAGAUUUAUCGCCUUUGGAUGGGCCCGCGUUGGAUUAGCUAGUUGGUAGGGUAAAAGCCUACCAAGGCGACGAUCCAUAGCUGAUCUGAGAGGAUGAUCAGCCACACUGGGACUGAGACACGGCCCAGACUCCUACGGGAGGCAGCAGUGGGGAAUAUUGGACAAUGGGCGAAAGCCUGAUCCAGCAAUGCCGCGUGAGUGAUGAAGGCCUUAGGGUUGUAAAGCUCUUUUACCCGGGAUGAUAAUGACAGUACCGGGAGAAUAAGCUCCGGCUAACUCCGUG
rnacentral:rRNA from 1 species